rnacentral:rRNA from 1 species
UACGUAGGAUGCAAGCGUUGUUCGGAAUUACUGGGCGUAAAGGGCUCGUAGGCGGCCAACUAAGUCAGACGUGAAAUCCCUCGGCUUAACCGGGGAACUGCGUCUGAUACUGGAUGGCUUGAGGUUGGGAGAGGGAUGCGGAAUUCCAGGUGUAGCGGUGAAAUGCGUAGAUAUCUGGAGGAACACCGGUGGCGAAGGCGGCAUCCUGGACCAAUUC